CACGGGGGGAGCAAGCGUUGUUCGGAAUUACUGGGCGUAAAGGGCGCGUAGGCGGGAUGGCAAGUCGGUCGUGAAAUCCCUCGGCUCAACCGAGGAACGUCGAUCGAUACUGCUGUUCUUGAGGAUUGCAGAGGAGACUGGAAUUCCCGGUGUAGCGGUGAAAUGUGUAGAGAUCGGGAGGAACACCGGUGGCGAAGGCGGGUCUCUGGGCAAUUCCUGACGCUGAGGCGCGAAAGCGUGGGGAGCAAACGGG
rnacentral:rRNA from 1 species